rnacentral:rRNA from 1 species
UACGUAGGGGCCUAGCGUUGUCCGGAAUUAUUGGGCGUAAAGAGCUCGUAGGCGGUCUGUCGCGUCUGCUGUGAAAACUCAGGGCUUAACCCUGAGCUUGCAGUGGGUACGGGCAGACUAGAGUGCGGUAGGGGAGACUGGAAUUCCUGGUGUAGCGGUGAAAUGCGCAGAUAUCAGGAGGAACACCGAUGGUGAAGGCAGGUCACUGGGCCGCAACUGACGCUGAGGAGCGAAAGCAUGGGGAGCGAACAGG